rnacentral:lncRNA from 1 species
CUCAAUGUCCUGGAUAUGAAAUUAGUAUUUUACCAAUUAUAUUUAGUCAAAAAAUCUGGCUUAAUGGAGAGAUGAGAGAGAUAAAUGUAGCUGAUCUCUAAUCAACGUCAUUAAUGGGUCUAUCACACGAGAUGAGAGAUACGACAUAGAGAGAUAAGAGGGUAGAAAAGUAAUAUUUGAUUAAUUUGCGUUUUGUGGCAUCAAAACCAUUAGUGGCCAUAGUACGACCCUUAUAGCUUGUGAGAUGACUUUCCACAAAAUAUAAAGAAAACUUAAUGAUAAAAAGAAAGCACAUAAAACUUUACAUAGCCAGUUUUAUGGAUUAAAUUUUUUUUGAUCAAACUAUAAAGAACUUUUGGUGGUAAAAGUAAACAUGUUCAUUUGAGCUUCUCGUGCUCACUUUUUAUCCUUGAGAAUGUGUCUGGUGGAUAUGUUAUUCACGAUUUGAAUUGGUGCAAUUUUAUGAAAAAUUAAUUACUAAAUUACUUUUAAUUGCUUCAAAAAUUUUAAAUGAAAACUAAACUAUUGGAACUGUAAAAUCGAAGCACUUAAACCAUAGCAUGUAAUCAGGGUCAUUUCGACAUAAAAGAAUUAUAUUUAUAAAAUAAAGGGAGAAAUCCCUUUAACUUUUAUGUAGUUUAGUUGUUGCGCAAUUUAUGUCCCUAACAUUAAAAAAUAAGCAAACAACUCUUAUGUGUUUUUGGUCUAAAAGCGAACAAUUAACUUUUCUUAUGGGAAAUGCAAAAUGACUACUAUACCCUUUCCAUUUCAACAUACUCUCUUAGCAUUUUCUUCUGUAUUUUCUUCAUUAGUUGCCCAUGCAUCUUGAGUUGUCCACUUCCCACCUCAAAUAAAUCAAAGUUAAAUCACUUUCUCCAUCACCAAUAAAUUAUUACGCUUUUGUUUUUUUUGUUAUUAUUUAUCAAUUACCAAGAGAGGUCGUUAUGUAAAAUUACAUAAUAGACGUUUCUCUCUCCUAUUUACAUUGAUUUUCUAUUUUUCUCUCAAUCUCUCUUUUCUAAAUAAUUUUUCCUUCUUCCCUCUAUGAACGAUUGCUGGUGAUCGAGCUGUGACACAUAAACAAUGAGUAUGUAUGCCUGAACUGUUUGUGGGAAAGGACUCUCAACGGUCAAAUUAGAUAACCAGAGAAUCAAUGUAUGUAGAGGGGAGAGAGUGAGCUUCUUAGAACUGAAUUCACAUACAUUUGAGAGGCACGUUACUGGAUUGACUAUAGCUCAGCGCGUGUCCGGACACGUUGAUUGCUGCCUUUUUGACCUGGUUGGUGAAUUGUCAUCAUGUGGUCGAUGUCUCAAUCCAGGCACACGGGGUUGUUAGAGGAAACCUUGCCAUGCAAGUUACCUUUUGUCCCAUGUCGUGUCUUAGGAUCACCGACGUUGCCAAGCUUUGGGGUGAUUAUCCUGCCGAGCUUGUUAUGUAGCAAUAGCUCGGCAGUGAUGCUUGCCUUAGAUCGGACAGUGCUUAUGUCCUCUUAUUCCUAGACCCCACCAAGCUUGCUUCUUAGCGAUAGCUUGGCGACAGUGCCUGCCCUGAGGCCAGAAGUUGUGGUUGUGUAUUUUAUGUUGGCCCAAGAAGCAACCCAAGAGGGGAGGUGAAUUGAAUUUUUAAAAAUUAUUUAGCAAUUAAGAUUAAUUAAAAUUAAUCUAAUUACUUCAACUGGAAAUUAAAUGAUGUGUAAUGCAAUAAAUGCAAAUAUAAAGUAAAGCUAGAAUAAGAGAUAGCACACUAAGAUUUAUCGAGAUUCGAUCACAACUCAUGAUUUAAGUCCUCUUAAGAUCUUUGCAAGAUCUUCUUUCACUACUUGC